AACUGCUGACAAUUAUUUUCACUUGAAAAGCAGCUCCUGGACUGCUUGAGAGUCCCAACAGAGCCUGAACAUCUAGCCCUGGGUCACAAAUGACUAUCAAUCGGUGUAAAAAUAUAAAGCAUUGACGCUUAAAGUGGAGUUCAAAGGAAAGUCAUCCUGGGAUGGGGGUGAGAAUGUUGGAGCCGCUGGGCAAGAGGAUGCUACUUGGCACUUUCUCUCAAAAGAUCACAGAGAAGCAGGCAGAGAAGAGAAGAGGAAGC